GGCCCCGUAGCUCAGCUGGAUAGAGCGUCCCCCUCCUAAGGGGAAGGUCGCACGUUCGAAUCGUGUCGGGGCUG
rnacentral:tRNA from 1 species